UACGUAGGUGGCGAGCGUUAUCCGGAUUUAUUGGGCGUAAAGCGUGCGCAGGCGGUUUGUUAAGUCUAAAAUCAAAGCCCGAAGCUUAACUUCGGUUCGUUUUAGAAACUGGCAGGCUUGAGUAUGGUAGAGGCAAACGGAAUUUCUAGUGUAGCGGUAAAAUGCGUAGAUAUUAGAAGGAACACCAGUGGCGAAGGCGGUUUGCUGGGCCAUUACUGACGCUCAUGCACGAAAGCGUGGGGAGCAAAUAGG
rnacentral:rRNA from 1 species